rnacentral:RNase_P_RNA from 1 species
GCGGGUGGUUGGAUGAUCGCGGGGGGGUAACCCUUCGAGGAAAGUCCGGACUCCAUGAAAAGCACGGUGCUGGUUAAUGGCCAGCGGGGGUAACCCUAGGGAUAGCGCCACAGAGAACAGACCGCCUUCUAUAUGGAGGUAAGGGUGAAACGGUGAGGUAAGAGCUCACCGCGGAUGUGGCAACACAGACGGCACGGCAAGCCCCACCG